ACUCCUACGGGAGGCAGCAGUGGGGAAUAUUGCACAAUGGGCGCAAGCCUGAUGCAGCCAUGCCGCGUGUAUGAAGAAGGCCUUCGGGUUGUAAAGUACUUUCAGCGGGGAGGAAGGCGAUAAGGUUAAUAACCUUGUCAAUUGACGUUACCCGCAGAAGAAGCACCGGCUAACUCCGUGCCAGCAGCCGCGGUAAUACGGAGGGUGCAAGCGU
rnacentral:rRNA from 1 species